UCAUUACGUUAGUGGGCUGUGUGGGUGGAUCCCAUUUUUCUCAUAAAUGCAUCUGGAUUGUUUUUGACUUGGCGUGUUCAGGUCAAACUGUACUUCCUAUUUAUUUAACGUUAAUGGUGCAAAUUGCAAGAGAAGCGCGGGUUUCGUUUUUUAUCGAAACAAAUUGCACGCAACAUCCUCUUGCUUGUGUCUUUCUAUAGAAAAGAAACUCGUUUCCAAAUCCCAGUUAGUUAAUCCUUAAAAUAAAUAUUAAUUAAUCCUUCGUUUCUCUUCAUCGAAACAAAGAAGAAGAUGAAGUUUGGAGAGACAUUCAUGGAGUAUUUACACGGAGAACAAGAAGGGUGUUUGGACAAAUGUGCUCAUGUUGAGUACAAACGACUCAAAAAAGUGUUAAAGAAAUGCAGAAGCCAAGGUCCGCCAUCCACUUCUUGCAACGACGAGCAGCAACAAGAAAGAGACAGUGAACAGAAUCACAGCUUGUCCCAAGUCUGCCAUUGCAAAUCUUGCCCUUUGUGUGAUCAGAUGUUCUUUUCCGAAUUGAUGAGGGAAGCUUCAGAUAUAGCUGGGUGCUUUAGUUCCAGAGUUAGACAUCUUCUCCAUCUUCAUGUUGCCAGGGGAAUGCAAAGAUAUAAACUUCGUCUACGUCAAUGUUUCAAAAAUGAUCAGCAGAUCAUGGUUGAAGAAGGGCGCAUGCUGAUUGAAUAUGUUACCAUGAAUGCAAUUGCUAUCCGUAAAAUUCUAAAGAAAUAUGAUAAAGUGCAUUCCUCUAUAAAUGGGAAGAAUUUCAAAUCCAAGAUGCGGUCUGAACAUAUGGAGCUUUUGCAAUCACCUUGGCUAAUAGAGUUGGGAGCCUUUUAUUUGAAUUUUGAUGGAAUAGAUGGAGGGGAGUUUAGUGAGUUCUGCAGUCGGUUUUCCUGUGAUCUCAGGGCUACAGAACCUGUCAUGACACUGAUGCUUCCAAAUUAUACAAAAUUAGAAUACGGUCUUACUUGUGCCAUUUGCUUGGAGAUGGUUUUUAAUCCGUAUGCUUUGAGUUGUGGUCAUCUUUUCUGCAAGUUGUGUGCUUGCUUAGCUGCUUCUGUGCUGGUGGUUGAAGGCCUUAAAGCUGCAAGUUCAAAUGCAAAGUGCCCUGUCUGUAGAGAGGCCCUCUUUUGUUUCAACGGCAAAGUUAUGCCCUACGCGGAUUGAUUCCCUGGUGUAUAGGAUUGUUCAAGGCAUAUUCUGAGUAGGAACUUGAAGCGGCUACUUACUCUGAAGGUGCUUUUGUUGUAUUACCUGAGACAAUGUGCAUUACUAGAGGUAUCUUGUGCUCUUCUAGGGCCUCUUUUGUUUCAACAGCAGAAAGGAACGAGUCAUACACCAUGCAUGGUUGGUUUCUUACAUUGGGUGCAAUGGUUAUAAUAUCUCGGUGGGUACAAAGAAAAAAGGUUUCAGUAAGUUCAACUCUCUUGGGAUCUUCAAUGUUGCUAGUUGUCUUUCUUGUUUGCCAUGAGAGGUUUGCAGGUGGUGAAUCUUCCUUGGAAGCAUGGAUUGUUCUAACUAGUGCAGUAAUGAAACACCUUACCUUUCAUUGAGUGGAUUGAGUCUGGAAAAAAUUAUCCUUCUUUUCUUUCUAACAUUUAUGUUUCUGUCUCAUAAGAUUAACUAAUCAACCUGAAGAGAUCUGCUAUUUUACUUUGUUGGAGUGAACACUGCUUAAUAUAGGCUGGGGUAUACACUAACGCAGUGCACAUGUUGGAGCUUGAUCUGCUUGUGAAAAGAAGGUGCAAAGAGCUCUGGAAGGAGAGGAUGGUUGCUGAACGUGCUGAGACCGUAAAGCAAACCAGGGAGUAUUGGGAUUUACAGACCAAAUAUGCGAUUGGCUAUUGAUUGUGGAAGGCUUGAAUGGAGGAGGGAAUUCUGGAAGUGUACCUCAAGUGGUUGAGCUCAGAGUUGCUUGAGAUGAAUAUCAUAGUUCAAGCAGGCUGUGGAUUUCUUGGUGGUUUUGAGCUAGACCCAAUUAAAGAUCAUUUUGGAAUGUUUCCAAGUGAGCAGCCUGCUUAGCUACCGCUAUUGUAAUUCGAGAUUACAAUGGAGGAAAGGAAAGGAAGACUAGAAAAUAAGACAAUGAAUAUUUAUCAGCACCAAGUAAUUUUUGCCAGAGAACCUCGAUUUGGUCAGCACCAAGUAAUUUCUAUCGAAUUACUUGGGAUUUCUUUUUAUGAAUUUUGAUGAUCCCCCGCUUAACUCCUUCCAUGUCUCUGUUUGAACAGCUUUUCACUUUCCUCUGUUGUUUCAUCUUGUUAAUGUUUUUGUAUUUCUCUUUU